rnacentral:rRNA from 1 species
GACGAACGCUGGCGGCGUGCUUAACACAUGCAAGUCGAACGGUGAAGCCUUUCGGGGUGGAUCAGUGGCGAACGGGUGAGUAACACGUGGGCAAUCUGCCCUGCGCUUCGGGACAAGCCCUGGAAACGGGGUCUAAUACCGGAUAUGACUCUGGGAGGCAUCUUUCAGGGUGGAAAGCUUCGGCGGUGCAGGAUGGGCCCGCGGCCUAUCAGCUUGUUGGUGGGGUGAUGGCCUACCAAGGCGACGACGGGUAGCCGGCCUGGGAGGGCGACCGGCCACACUGGGACUGAGACACGGCCCAGACUCCUACGGGAGGCAGCAGUGGGGAAUAUUGCACAAUGGGCGGAAGCCUGAUGCAGCGACGCCGCGUGAGGGAUGACGGCCUUCGGGUUGUAAACCUCUUUCAGCAGGGAAGAAGCGUGAGUGACGGUACCUGCAGAAGAAGCACCGGCUAACUACGUGCCAGCAGCCGCGGUAAAAC